GGAUACUGGGAAUUAAUUUGUUUUCGAAAACUAUGUUUUCAUAACCAAUAUAAGUUAGGUCUAAUUUAAUUCUUUAGAUUUUAGAUGUAUUUUUUUUGUAUGUACAUGUAUAAAAAACCUGACCAUACUUUAUCAUAUGGUUAUUUACAAAGACCUUAGUCAAAAGUUUUGCAAAAGAUUGGCAAAAAAAACCAACAGAAACACCAUUCAUCUUAAGAAUUUCCUUGGAUUACAGCUUUGUAAAAUAUAUUUUGUAGCAAACAUUUGUUUAGGUAUAGAUCAUGCCUACAGGUAUAUCUACAUAUUUAUGAUAUUAUUUAGCAGUAUUUUCUGUUUUGUUAUAUAUGUAGGAUGUUUGAAGCCCUUAUGUUAAUUUGUAAGAUAUAAAUACAUAUAAUAAUGUCCUGCACACUUAUGUUUUAUGAACAUGCAAAGGAUGUUAUUUGGUAGUUUAUAAUACUUUUUGAUUUCCUAAUUUAAUGGGCCAAAAUACACUAUGACAUUAUCGUUCCGUUCUCCUUUGUGUUGGUUUUUUGUUUGGUAAUCUUCUGACAUCUUGAAUUGUGUCAUUUCUUUUAUAGUUGAUUUAAACAUGUUAACAGGUUGUGAUUCAUUGUUUGUUUGUUAUUUAAAUGUGUAUGUAUGUGUGUUAUUAUUUGGUUUGUAAUCAUAGAAGCACAUUGUCUCCAGAAAUUUGGCUAUUAUGCAUGCAUCUUUAAAAUUUGGUUUGAUGAGCUAUUGUUGUCAUGGAUUCUGUGGUUGUCUACAGUUUACUGUAAAAGUAAUUAUUUCCUCCACAUAUCAAAUUUCAAUAUAGGUUUGCUGAAAUGAUAGGUUGGGUAUGUAUUAUAAAGCUUAUGAUUUUGUCAAGUCCAACAGACACACACAAGAUUAGAAGAAGAGUUGAGUGCUAAGAAACGUGUUUAACUUUGCCACAUUCUUUAUGUGCCAGUCUUAAGUCUGGAGCCUGUAAUUCAUUGGUUAUCAUCUGUAUUAUCAGAAUGCAAGUUCUAGUUAUUGAGAUACUCAUCCAGUCCAAUAUUGGCAUUACUGGUAACAAAUACGUCACAAUAAUUUGUGAGUAUACUGUACUACAUAUGUUUGUCUGUGGAGGGAUUCGGGUUUCUUACAGUUUCUAGCUCUGUCUGUAAGUCUUUAAAUUUGUUUGGUUACUUUGUUUGUUUGAUGGUUGAACUUGUUGUAGCUGGUUCUUGUAACAUUGACAGUGGCGGAUCCAGGGGUAAGUUCUGGGGGUGGAACCCCCUUUUUAUGAUGAUCUAUGAAUUUGAAUGAGGACAUAUAGUUGAAACCCCCCACCCUCUUUUUAUCCUGGAAUUGGAACCCACUUUUGAAAAUAGCUGGAUCUGCCCAUGAUUGAUAUAUAAGGCUUAAAAAUGUAACUAUUUCCCUUCUCAUGCACCUGACAACCAUAUUAAAACAUGUCUCAUAGACUAUUUUUGUAAUAGGUAAUCUGCCUUGUUAGAAUCAGUCAAUCUACUUUCACCAGGCUUUUGCCACUACGUAUAGGGAUAAAAUGUCUUAAAAAUUCAGAAAUAAGUCUCCCUGAUAUAAGAUAUUUCCUGGGAUGCUGAAGGAUUAUGUUUAAUAGCCUUGUGAGUCUACAAUGACAUUGUUGCUUUGUUUGUACUUUUGAAACUGAAUGUCUUGCAUUUAUUGUUGGUUUUGGUGUUAAAUGUAACCUUUAUGUAAGAAAUAAUAACCUUCCAUUUCCAAGUGCUAUAGAUUGUCCCACCAUGUUAAUUGUUCUUAUUGUUAAUGAAAUCAUUUAAAAUUUAUAAACUGUGUUAUUUGUUACUUUUGUAUGUAGUAUGCCAUUAACCCCAUUGGGCAUAACUGUGCAUAUAUUUGAAUAAAGUAUAAUUAUUAUUUUUUUUUAGAAGUUUGAUAAAAGUGUGUAAUUGUGCCUAUUAAAGUUUAUCAUUUUCUUUUAAUGUGGUUUACAUUGUAAUUGCAGCAGCUAGGUGUAAUGUAUCUAAUUAUGUGUAGUGCAUAAAGGUAGAAGAGUGGAAGAAAGUAUGUGUUUCAUUAGUGUAUGUGUAACAAUGACAUUUAGAUAGUGUUCAAAAACAGUGUUUGAAUAUCAACAUGUGAUAACAUUGUCUGACUAUGUGAUAACAUUGUCUACAGUGUGUGACUGACUAUCUGAUUACAUAGUCUGACUAUGUGAUUACAUUGUGUGACUAUCUGAUUACAUUGUGUGACUAUCUGAUUACAUUGUCUGACUAUGUUUUUAUAAGACGCAAACAAAUUUUGCAGUCGUAUAUUGGUAUGACGUUGGCGUCGUUGUCGUCAUCGUACGAAGACACAUUGGUUUUCGCACUACAUGUAUAACUUUAGUUUAAGAAAAUAGAAAUCUAUGAAAUUUAAACACAAGGUUUAUGAACACAAAAGGAAGGUUGGGAUUGAUUUUGGGAGUUUUAGUCCCAACAGUUUUGGAAUAAGGGGCCAAAAAGGGGCCCAAAUAAGCAUUAUUUUGGUUUUUGCACCAUAACUUUAGUAUAAGUAAAUAGAAAUCUAUGAAAUUUAAAAUGAAGGUUUUGAUUGAUUGUGGAAGUUUUGGUCCCAACAGUUUAGGAAUUAGGGACCCAAAGGGCCCAAAAUUAAACUUGGUUUGAUUUCAUAAAAAAUUAAAUAAUAGUGGUUCUUUGAUAUGCUGAAUCUAACUGUGUAUGUAGAUUCUUAAUUUUUGGUCCCGUUUUCAAAUUGGUCUACAUUAAGGUCCAAAGGGUCCAAAAUUAAACUUAGUUUGAUUUCAACAAAAAUUGAAUUCCUGGGGUUCUUUGAUAUGUUGAAUCUAAACAUGUAUUUAGAUUUUUGAUUAUGGGCCCAGUAUUCAAGUUGGUUUAAAUCGGGGUCCAAAAUUAAACUUUGUUUGAUUUCAACAAAAAUUGAAUUCUUGGGGUUCUUUGAUAUGCUGAAUCUAAACUGUAAUUAGAUUUUGAGUAAGGGCCCAGUUUUAUAAGUUGGUCCAAAUUGGGGUCCAAUAUUAAACUUUGUUUGAUUUCAACAAAAAUUGAAUAUAUGGGGUUCUUUGAUAUAUGCUGAAUCUAACCAUGUAUUUAUAUUUCAUAUCACAUCUUCUGAUUUUCAAUAAGUUUCUAUAUAUAACAUUAAAAAGGUUAAAAAGCUGAGCCUAAAAACAACAAUGUAAUGUUGGCUUACUUAUACUUAUACUUAUAUGACUUUUGAAGCAAAAUAAUGUGGAGACUCCUCAUAUUUUCAGAAUCAGUUCAACAAGUUCUAAAUGCAUGCAAAAUUAACUCUGUAUUUUGCCUUAAAAGGAAUGAUAGGGUUUUAAAGUUUUGUACAGUUGUAUCUUUAAUGAGAUUAUUGUUAAUAAUUAUAUACUGAAAGUGUAAACCAAUUUUGUUUUAGAAAAGCAUUUUUGUUAGAGUUAAUUAAACAUUAAUGGCAUUGUGCUGGCAUUCAUUGAUAAAUCAACAAAUUGACAAGAAAAUAGAAUAGAAUUCUGAAUGUUAUAUACAUAACCUCUGUAGCUCAGAACCUGUUUCACCAGCUGUGCUAGAAAAAGAUGAACAAUGUCUGUGUGCAAUACUUUGUAUGUUGUAUUUCUACAAAUUCUGUUAUAUAAAAUUACCGGUAUUUGCAAUAUCUGUCAUGUUUGAUGCAAUUUCUCAACUCUUAUAAAUGAGUCUGGAAUUGGGGUCCUACAUUUUUUUAUUCUUUAUUUUUUGUUGACUAUUUUUCUCUAUUCUUAAAGUUUAAGCAACCCAUUUUGCUUUAUUCUUAAAUUUUAGUUUUCCUUUAAUUGUGCACUUUUGGUCUAUUAUUCUCUUUUCUAUAAACCCCAUCCAGACCCUCAUAUAUUUGAAGGUUACAUACUUUAGAUACAACUAAUGAUACAUAAAAGUACAUUUGAUUACAGCUGAUUGCAUUGAGUGUGUAGGGAAAGGUAGAAUCCUUGGUUAGCUUUCUUGUUAGCUGAACCAUGGAAUCAAUGUUAGGUAAGGUAUUCUACCCUCCUUUCGAAGAAGUCUAGUCUUACAGACAGAUAGUUUACCUAACCUAGUAAUGACUUCAUGGUCCAGCUAACAAGCAAGCUAACCAAGGAUUCUACAUUUCCCUAAACACUCAAUGCAAUCGGCUGUAACAGUUAUUAAAUUUGAAAAAGGUACAGAAAGUAUUUCAAUGUAUGGCCAUUUAUCAUAUUUAUGUAUAUUUCCUUUUUAAUGUGUUUGAGUUUUUGUAUUUGUUCUGUUACACAUAAGACAAAAUAAAUCAUUAAACAAAUGUCAUACAACUUGUAAUUUUCAUUGAAUAAUUUGUUACACAUGAAUUAGAUGAAAAGGUAAAU
rnacentral:lncRNA from 1 species